rnacentral:tRNA from 1 species
UAGCCUAGUGUGGUUAAGGUUAUGGAUUGCCAAUCCGGAGACGGUGGGUUCGAUUCCCGU